rnacentral:lncRNA from 1 species
UGGAAUUUUACAGUGAGGGCAGGGUUGGACUGUGGGUGGGGAACCUAAGGUGAGAGGGAGGAAGCCCACCCCUCUCAUUGGUGAAUGAUACACUGUGGUGGACCAGAUGCACUCAUUUUUCUUGAGUCCAUGAAUACCAGCUUUGCUAUGGCAAGCCAUCUCUAAUUUCUGGUUGUGUGACCAUAAAGCAGUAUCUUCCUUGGUCUUCCUAGAGAUUGUGACAGUACAAGGAAACCACCCAGUGCUGAAUACUAAGCAGAGCCUAGGGCCCCAGUAGAACCGGUUACUUCUUUUCUAGGUGAAGAUGUGGGGAAGACCCAAGAGGAGAACCUAGGGCUACCUAGUUACCAGGGACAAGGGACAAAUGAGCCACUCCAGCGCUUCGUGGGAAGCUGCCCACUGCCGACCACAUACAGCAGGCAGCUUUUCUCUUAUAGCUCUCGUGUUGCGUUUCUUAAUUUAAAAUGGGAAAUUCCGUAUUUGGAACCUCAUCAAUCAUUUUUGUGAGCUGGGCUCUGCGGAAAGCAUGGAGAAACAUUUAGAUUUGUGGCUUGAACUGUUGAAAAUGGGAAACAAUUUAAAUAAUAUUAACAUUUUAACAGCCUCCACUCAGGGCUCUGUGAAAUUAACUAUUAUCUCUUGGAGUGUUUGUUAAAUUCAGCAGUGGGUAAGUGGCAGGUUCUGUGGGCGGUAUUUGUGUUUGGGAGGUUGGGUGGGACCCCGUGUGAGGUCUCGUGGGGCUAGUAUCAUUGAGGCCUGCUGGCAGUACCAACACUCCCAUGCCCUCGGCAAUGGGGGCAUCCUUCUGCAGUCGGGACUGUGGACCCAGCAGAACUGAGUGUUGAGGCUAAAUAGUGACCAUUCACAGACCCUGCCCUCAAGGAUCCCCAGUGGUCAGGGAGGAGACCAGAAAAGUACACAGUGGUACUGGACAUGGGCUACACAUGAAAAGGGAGUACUGGGGCCUGCGAAGAGGAAAUCAUGGGUACUUCCUGGUGGAGGUUGCAUCUGAAGUGAUCCUCAGCACCAGGCAACCAGAGAAUGAGGGACAGCUCAUCUCCAAGCUGCUGCUUUUCUCUGCUCCAUCCAAAGGCCUCACAGAUGCUCCAUCAGUCUGAAACGCUGUGCUCUCUCUUGUCAUCACACUGCUCCUGACUCAAGCAGCUAUAAAUUGUUAGGGCUCUCCCUGCUAGUUUCACCACCAGCUUGUUUCCCUCUCAUUGAUCCAACCUGCAUCUGUAUCUUUGAUGGAUAAGCAGUUCUUCAGACUGUUUAUACCUCUGGCUCUAAACUGAAACUACCAACAGCAACAGUAGCAUCAGCUUCAGCAUCAACCUUAGCAUCAGUAUCGGCUUCAGCAGCAGCAGCAACAACAACAACAGCAGCAGCAUCUGUGUCAAAGCCAGGAUCAUCAAGGACCUUGUUAGAAGUAGAAAUUAUGUGGCUCCAUUCCAGAUCUACUGAAGCAGAGACUGCAGUGAGGCCCACCAAUGGGAAAGCCCUCCAGAUGGCCUUCAUACAUUGUAGAAUCAACAAAUAGUUGUUUGAGCUGUAGGCCAGUGUGCCUAGCCAACUAGGAGACUGAGGCAGGAGGGUUACAAGUUCAAGGCAUUUAUGCGUUAAAGAGUGAAACCCUGUCCUCAAAUAUAAAGUCAAAAGCAAGGCUGGGAGUGUGGCUUAGAUAGAACACUUGCCUCACAUGUGCAAAGCUCUAGGCUUCUUUCCCAUCACUGCACAAGCGUUUUAUCUUGUUCCCAGCCCCGCU